rnacentral:rRNA from 1 species
GACGAACGCUGGCGGCGUGCUUAACACAUGCAAGUCGAACGGAAAGGCCCUGCUUUUGUGGGGUGCUCGAGUGGCGAACGGGUGAGUAACACGUGAGUAACCUGCCCUCGACUUUGGGAUAACUUCAGGAAACUGGGGCUAAUACCGGAUAGGAGCUCCUGCUGCAUGGUGGGGGUUGGAAAGUUUCGGCGGUUGGGGAUGGACUCGCGGCUUAUCAGCUUGUUGGUGGGGUAGUGGCUUACCAAGGCUUUGACGGGUAGCCGGCCUGAGAGGGUGACCGGCCACAUUGGGACUGAGAUACGGCCCAGACUCCUACGGGAGGCAGCAGUGGGGAAUAUUGCACAAUGGGCGGAAGCCUGAUGCAGCAGCGCCGCGUGCGGGAUGACGGCCUUCGGGUUGUAAACCGCUUUCGCCUGUGACGAAGCGUGAGUGACGGUAAUGGGUAAAGAAGCACCGGCUAACUACGUG